UCUCAGUCUCAGGGAACCUGAUGACCUAAAAAUAAUAAAACGGUCCCAUAUUAUUAUUGGAAUAUUGCCUAUUAUGUUGCGGAGUUGUUGUUGUGUUUUGGAUAAGAGAGACGAAGCUGAGCUUGCAAAACUUGGUAAUUUUAAUACAAGAACAACUUUCGAAGAAUAGAAUAAUUAUAGAAACCGG